rnacentral:tRNA from 1 species
AAUGUAGAGCCUGAAUAAAGGAUUAUCGUGAUAGGAUAAAACAUGUAGAAACAACUACCUACAUUA